rnacentral:lncRNA from 1 species
CACUAUAAGUUCAUCAAAAACCACUACAAAAAUAUAGAAAAUCACUACAAAAGAUCCCAUUUAUAAAGAGAAAAUCCACUAAAAACUUGCCUAUAUCCACUACAAAAGUCCCCUUUAAUAAAAAUUGUCAUCGCAUACAAUAGUAGAGUCCCCGUGCAUCACCCAACCUCGUCCCACUUGUUGCCAUCACUCCUUGUCAAGAAUCUGAACCAAAUAAAAAGACAACGACAACGUGUAAAUUUAAUCAUUCAAAAUAAAAUCGGUCUACCAAGGAAAAAUUUUAAAUCUACUACAAUCUCAUCCAAACCCACUACAAAAAAUAUCGAAAUCCACCAAAAUAUUAACAUAAUCCACUAUGAAAUUAACCUAAUCCACUACAAACAAUUACAAAAAUAUUAACGUAGUCCACUAUGAAAUUAAACUAAUCCACUACGAAAAUAAACUAAUUCACUACGACAAAUCCCCUUUUCAAAGAGAAAAUUGAGUUUAAUUAUAUCAAAAUUCACUAAAUAGUAAUGUAGUCCACUACGGAAUUAACCUAAUCCACCACAACAAAUCACAUUUUCAAAGAGAAAAUCCAAUUCAAAAUAAGAAUUACAAUCUAAUUACAAUCAAAUUAUUAUUUUUAGUUGAAAACCUUGAUUAUCUAGAUUACCGUAUCGCUGGCAACAGUAGCACAAACCCC